GGGAGCAGGGCAGCAGAAACAAGAGACACAUGGUUUUAUUUACUUUAUUAUUUUGUAAAUGUGAAUUUUACAAAGCAUUUUCAUCAUUAAUGAUCACAUUUUUCCAUGGAUUUUUCAUUAUAUGAAAAGCGCUACAACCAUACUUUGAACUCUUGGAAGGGGGCUUGUGAAGAAGAGACAUCUUGAAGCCACUCCCCCACGUUGCCCCCGCCCCCGCCCAGCCACCUGACACUGUUCUGAAUCUAUAGUGUUAGCCAUGGCUGUAACAGUCUCAAGCUGAGGGAUGGCACAUAAAUAACAAAGAGAAUAAACAAAACUUUGCGUGGCUGAAACAACUCCAAAGCACUUCAAAAUCUCCCCUAUUAGCGCUGGGAUUUUUAACUUUUCAUUUAUUUUUAACAGUCAUGAGUUACAGUACUACUGGGUACUCUUGAUAAAGACUCCAAGAGAAACCCUUUUGCUCUCUUAAGACUUUUCUCUCAGGCAGUUCAAAAGGAUCUGCACACAAUCUGAAUCAAGUGCAAUCCAAAGGUUCAAGUUAAACAUAUUUAUACAUUUUCUUGCUUAGCUAUGACUUUAUCAUUUUUGAGUCUUAAAAAUAGUAUUGCAAGGUUGGGCUCCCUCCCCUCCACCUCAGACAUAAAAGUGCAAAAAGGACGUUUGGAAGAAACAGAAGAUUGUAAGUUCUUCAGCAAGGACAACACAUGGGAUCCCUCUUUCCCUCCUCUCAUGCCAGCUUUGGCAGAGGCACAGAUUGCCUUGCUCCAAGGUGGGCACCCAGUGAAUUGACCACAACCCUUCAUGGGCAGCCACAGCAGCACUGUAACAGUGACACUGAAAGGCCUGGCCCUUUAAGACUGGUUAGGGAUCCCUUAAUGGCCACAGGAGAUAUGGUCAAAAUGCACAGCACAUAUCACAGGCUGCAUCAUUUGGACAGCUGUGGAAACUCUGCUGCUCAGGGAAGACAACAUCACAGAGAGGGCUUCUUCUCAGGCAAAGAUGAUUACAUGUAAAGCAGCCCGUCUCCCCCGGGCACCUUUCCCCCGGAGAGCACCAUGCCCAAACGGCUGUGCCCUUUUUAGGACUCCCCCCCGUCUCCUGCCCUGUCAGGUGGGGAUGGCACCAAUUUGCUUUUUCUCUUUGCAUGUAAUGCUGCAAGGAAGAAGAUGCAGGAAAGAGAAGUCACCAAGAGGGUCCCAAUUCCUCAGUGAUGGGAAGUACCAGGAAAGGUUGCCACACCAGGUGAGAAAACAGUCACAACCUUUUAUCCACCCUGGCAAAUCAGCAUCCUACAAAAAAAGCUAAACUUUCUAGCCAGGAUGCUUUCCAGCACUUAAUUAAAAUGAGAAAGAAGAAUUUCUUCAAUUAAGCAAAACCCAUUUCCAAACUGGAUUCCCAGGACAGGUAAGAAAAAGUGGGGAACAGCCAAACAUCUCUGGCAACUUGAGGGUUGAAUUAGUGGCCAUUUCAGUUGGAGCAAGAAGAGAAUAACUGUCAGGGAAGUCUCAGAGCAGACAAAAGGACAGGACUUAUGGCUUAACAUGGUCUCACCUUUGCAAUGAGAUCAGAUUUCUGGAAAAAAAAAAUCCGAGUCUUGUUUUUGGCUCCAAAUUUUGGUUUAGAGUGAAAAAAAAAAACCCUGGAAUUGCACACUUCUGAGCAAGGGUUAGGUAAAGAAACCUUGGAGAAGCCAGGCUAAUUUACAAAGCAACUGCAAUCUGGGGAUGUUUCCAUUGCAGAAAAGGAGGGGGUGGGAAUGUUGGUUCAAUUCUUAUACUAUGAUGUGGCAACCACUAAAUUCACUCGGUUUUCUCUCUCUUUAAAAAGGUGCUUGAUAUAACUUUUUAUAUAUAUAUAUAUAUAUAAUAUACACAUGUAAUAUUGCUAACAGUCAAGCAUUAAGAAUAGAGGUGCAGACAUACCAUAAAUACUUCUGCUUCCAUUUUUAUUUUUAAGAUCUAGAGGGAUGCCGUUUCCAUUUCACAUUAUGCAUCAUCACAGUCAGAAAGCAACUCCCAGACACUCUCGUGACAUUUCUAGCAUUAUUGUAAACAAAGAGGGGGAAAUCGGGGCGGGGGGCAUUCCUUCUGAUCUGGCAUUUCCCCCCCUCUCUGUCCCCUCCGCAUGGAAAACAAGUGAUCCAAAAAGGGCUAAGGCACUCAGGAAAUCCCGAUCAUUCUGGGCUUCAUUCUCACUUUACAUUCUUUUAUUUUGCGACAUUCUUCCUUCCCACCAGGGAGGAGACAAUCACGAUCCACAGAUACGUCUUGGAAAUCUGCCCUUAAGCCUCCACAUGCGGAUCUGGUUUAGUGCAAAUGCUCAUCCUCAUCAAGAAGACAAGGAAGGCCCCCCUCCCCAAAAACAAACCAUUCACAUUUUUUUCAAGUUUACCUAAAGCUCUCUCUCUCUCUCUUUUACUAGAAAGUAAAAACAAACAAAGAAACCCCAAAUAAAAAUGUACAUGAAAUUGUGCUCGGUAUAAAAAUAUAUCUUAACUGUGCAAUGCGACACUCUCUUCAGAUUCUUUUCUAAGCCAUUCAAGUAUUUUCUUUAUGUUCUGGUCAUUUCAUCAUGGGGCCAGGGGCAGGUGGAACAGCUCCUGGAUGCACUUUGUACCACCAUUAUUUUGGGUAGGGUAUCCAAUUGGAAGAGGAAAUGACCCAAGGUAAGAAAGGCAGUAAUCCUUUCAGUUUGAUACCAUCAUAUUUCAUGGACCCAAUCCCCCUUUACCACUGACUCAGGGAAAGAUACAGAAGGGGGGGGUCACUGCCCACAGAGCUGCCCCUACUCACUGGACCAUCUAGGGCAGAUCAUUACUCGACUGCUCACUCUGAUAACAAAGUUCUCAUUCACCUGCAAAUGCAGAAUUAGGCCCUUGAAGGUGUGGAGCCAAUGGCCUGAUUGAGCUGCAGCUACAGAGGCAUCCCAGGCCAGAAAAAGCCUGGAGACACAUUGGCUCAGCCUCCUGGUGCUUCUCCCCCUCCUCAAGGCCUCACCCAUCCACUUCACCAGUGCUCAGCUGGUUUUAAUCCUUUGUGGGGUGGCACUGGUACAGAUCAGGGACCACAGUUUUUUUUCUUUCAGGGCCCAGAAUGAAGUUUCAAAUAUUGGCCAAAGGCAAGGACUCCCUCCAAAGCCUCCAUGGUCACAUGGCAAAGGGAGGAACCCCCAGGAAGAGAGUAUACCCCCCCCCGCAACACCUCGUGCCAGUGGCUCCAGCGCAGAGCCUUACCUGGAGCUCAGAAAGUACCCAUUGCAGAGCUCUCAGAAGCUCCCACUGUCCUGAGCUUUCUGCACCUGAAAAAUCCCCCCAAACUCAGUCUGUCUCCCCUCCCCCCUCAAGAGCCUGCUCUUUGUGGUCCCUUCCCAGAAACCCACACAGGGAUCCUGCCUAGAAAAGCAGAGACAAACCCUUACAUCAAGGAGGGUUUGGGCUAGGAAUGGGGAGAGAUUCCUAAGCAGCACACCCUUCAUGGUGAAGCAUCUCCUCUCACGUUACCAGGUGGGGGCCUUCCAGUAACUCCUGUGUUUCAAUCAAGGUGACUGAAUCUUGGGAUAAACCAUUCUAGAACGCCUAAGGGGAUGGCUGCCAAGGACCCAUUUUGGAGUUGGAAAAGGGGCAGAUCCCAGAGCAAAAGCACCUUUCCCUUAUAGAACUGUGGAGAGGAAAGGGGCCCCCAAGGGUAAUCUAGGCAACCCCCUGCAACGGCCAUCCAACCAGAGACCAGAGAAGGGGCCUCUUUGCCCUUCCAUUUAUGAAAUAGCCCAGUUGGGCCAUGGUGGCUUCCCCCUACUCUCUCCUCUGCCACGCCUGUCCGACAUAUAUUAGGGGGAGGUGCUGAGUGCAGCAAAAAUGAGGCUGCUCUCCCCCUGACACACAACCACCCAAAAAGCAAGCUAGGCUGCCUGCCUGCUUCCCCAGCCCAGAUCCCACUCCAACCUGCUCUGCCUCUUGCACACAUGCUGGUUCUCCUUUGGCCAAAGUUCGCUCUGCACCCAACACCUUUCAGAUGUGAAAGUUGAGCUGUACCCCUCUAAGAAACACCCUACCAGACAAAGCAGCUCAAGCCAUCAGAACUGAAAAACUUGUUCUCAUAUUUUACAUGAGCCUUCUCAAAAAAAAAAAAAAAAAGA